GUUCAACCGAAGUUGGACAGGUUUUUUAUGAUAAUGUUUACGGUACAUUUUUCGUUUUUAAAAACAUAAAAUAUAUUAGCGGUCGUAAUCGUUAGAAACGGAAAGUACAUCACAUUUACACUGCAGUUUACUACUCGAUUUUGUGAAAUCGUUUUUCUCGUAUAUUUUUUUACUACGAUAAUUUAUAUAGUCAAUAAAGUCGAUUAUCACCAACGUGUGUCUGUAUAAUAUAAUGUACACUGGUAUUACAAAUAAAUAAAAAUAUUAUACAACGUGCGAUUACUUUGGCAGGCAGUGGUAAAUAUGUCGGCCCGGUAAACUUGGUUUUAAAUUUGGAAGUUAGAGCAGA